rnacentral:tRNA from 1 species
GCAUCCUUAGCUCAGCUGGCAGAGCAACAGACUCUUAAUCUGUGGGUCGUCGGUUCGAUCCCGACAGGAUGUACCA